AGCAGCCGCGGUAAUUCCAGCUCCAAUAGCGUAUAUUAAAAGUUGUUGCAGUUAAAAAGCUCGUAGUUGAAUUUCGGGGACCAAUUUGUUGGUCGUGCCUCGGUACGUACUGGUAUUAUUGGUUUCUCCCUUCUGAAGAACCUCGAUGCCAUUAAUUUGGUGUCGUGGGGAAUCAGGACUGUUACUUUGAAAAAAUUAGAGUGUUUAAAGCAAGCAUACGCUUGAAUACAUUAGCAUGGAAUAAUGAAAUAGGACGUUUUGAUUCUAUUUUGUUGGUUUCUAGGAUCGACGUAAUGAUUAAUAGGGAUAGUUGGGGGGCAUUAGUAUUCAAUUGUCAGAGGUGAAAUUCUUGGAUUUAUUGAAGACUAACUACUGCGAAAGCAUUUGCCAAGGAUGUUUUCAUUAAUCAAGAACGAAAGUUAGGGGAUCGAAGACGAUCAGAUACCGUCGUAGUCUUAACCAUAAACUAUGCCGACUAGGGAUCGGAUGAUGUUAAUUUUUUUAAUGACUCAUUCGGCGC
rnacentral:misc_RNA from 1 species